ensembl:snoRNA
UGGAUCAGUGAGGAUAAUUGCCAGCGUAUGAGCCGUGGAUGAUGAGUGACAUGUGUCUGGAACUCUGAGGUCCAA